rnacentral:rRNA from 1 species
AGCUCGUGUCGUGAGAUGUGGUUAGUCCGCAACGAGCGCAACCCCUAUUGUUAGUUGCCAUCAUUCAGUUGGGCACUCUAGCGAGACUGCCGGUAAUAAACCGGAGGAAGGUGGGGAUGACGUCAAAUCAUCAUGCCCCUUAUGACCUGGGCUACACACGUGCUACAAUGGUUGGUACAACGAGUUGCGAGUCGGUGACGGCGAGCUAAUCUCUUAAAGCCAAUCUCAGUUCGGAUUGUAGGCUGCAACUCGCCUACAUGAAGUCGGAAUCGCUAGUAAUCGCGGAUCAGCACGCCGCGGUGAAUACGUUCCCGGGCCUU